UUAUUGAGAGUUUGAUCCUGGCUCAGGACGAACGCUGGCGGCGUGCCUAACACAUGCAAGUCGAACGAAGCUCCCCGAUACAAGGCUUCGGCCAAGUUGAAGGGAUGACUUAGUGGCGGACGGGUGAGUAACGCGUGAGGAACCUGCCUUUCAGUGGGGGACAACAGUUGGAAACGACUGCUAAUACCGCAUAAUGUUUCUGGACCGCAUGAUCUGGAAACCAAAGCUUUAUGUGCUGAAAGAUGGCCUCGCGUCUGAUUAGAUAGUUGGUGAGGUAACGGCCCACCAAGUCUACGAUCAGUAGCCGGACUGAGAGGUUGAACGGCCACAUUGGGACUGAGAUACGGCCCAGACUCCUAC
rnacentral:rRNA from 1 species